UUUUUUUUUAUCCAACGUUUUUAAAACUUUCACAAAAUCGAAGUGUUGACACAGAAGUAUGCAUACAAAUAGGUCCGGUUGAAAAAUGAAAACAUUUGGUAAAGAAGAUUAGAAUUUCGCUUUCGAACAUAAAAGAAACAUCAUAUAGAUAAAGACGAUUUAAUGAGUCUCAAACUUGUUUCCUCCUUAUCAAUCUUCUUCAAUAAAGUUACAUGACUCUGUAAAGUGAGAGCUCGGAUUAUUCAACACUCUCCUUAGAUUUUUCGAUAUGUAAGUUCUGUUAAUUGAUUAUGUGGUAAAGAAAUAUAGUCUAUAACAUGAAAAUUUGCAGACACACAUAGGAGCAGCGCCAAUUAAUUUUCAAUGGUCAACAACCACGAUGGUCUCGAUAAAUCUAAUAUAACGACUAAAUAUGUAGAGAAAAUUCUUCGAAAUCCUAACAAAAAUCAUCUGCACCUCUCUAGUAAUUUUUUAGAACACUCGAUCUUGAUACUUCAAAGUCAUUGGUCUUCAACAAAUUUGUUAUGCAAUAUUCUUCUUAUCUCCUUGUGCAUUUUGUACAUCAUGCGGAUCGAAAAAGAAAGAAGCAUACAUAGUGUAGUCAUCAUCUUUACAGCUCGGUUAGUUCUAUGAGCGAAUUAUUACUGCACUGUACAUAUGGUAAUUAUUGGUCCUUGUCGAACUAAUUAUAGGAGUCCUGUUAUCUUGCAACCCACAAUAGUAAAGUCUUGUAUAUCACUGUACUUAUUUACAUACUGACAGUAAUAUUUUCUCAAGGCCUACUCAAAAACCCAAAAUCAUCUCCAAAUCUAAACUCUACAACAAAUUCCCUGCAAAUUUUUUUGGGGCACUGAAAAUUAAAAAAAUUAGCACACUCACUAAUACUUUCCGAGGAAGAGAAUCAUCUGCUGGUUUCAAGAGUGUUGAUUUUGCUCAUGCACUGAUUGUACAUUACUAUAACUGUUUAUACUGAUAAAAACAAAUCAAUUAUUGAAUUUCUCCUUUUAGAUGCUUCAAAGUGCUUUAUCCCUCCCUUGAAAUGAGGGGAUGAGAGCACUUUACUUUGGAGCCAUCUCCACACAAAAGGAAUAAACACGCCAGAGGCCCAAACUGUCGCAAGAGAAAAGGUGAGUGACCCAUGUUACAAAAUUGCAGAAAAUUUCUAGACAGGACCCUAAGAUUCAUAGGACCUUUGACAAUCAAUACGAGUCAUGAUGUGCAGGUAGGUUGAGGCGAACCAAGAGACGAGGGAAGAUUAACUGGGUUCACUCGUUUUCAACAUCGUUGAUUUGUCAGUUUUUUCCAUUGAGAGAGAGAGAGAGUACAUUUGCAAGUCCCCGGCAACUCUCGUGUGGACCCUGGGGAAAUAAUUUCCUCACCUUCCUAUUUCGCGCUCCUCACAGAGAUUGUCGUUUUUCUCUCUUAUAGAAAACUCAGUGCUCAUGCACUGCUUGGCUUUCUUGGAUUUGAAUGGGAGAUGGAGUCCAUCUCUCUCUUUCUCAAUUAUUUACUUGGACCUCUUGCCCGCUCUUGACAAAAAUGUGAAGGGUUUGCUUUAGGGUUUGGUAGUAUGUAUCGAAACCUAGAUUUCUUGUGGUAGAUAAUUUCGUUAUGGAAAGGAAUCGAUCACUAGGCAAAAUGGAAACCGGAUGAGGUUUAUGAUAAUUCGAUGUAAUCAAAAUAGCAUCUCUUCAUGAACGUGGACUGAAACUAAUUUAGGCUCCAUUUAUUUUGUGGCAUAUGAGUGAUUUGAAAUAAUUUUUUUUUAAAAUGAUCGCAUAUAUCAUUUGUGAAAAUGAAUUAACAAAACAUAUUUUCAUCAUUUAUCUAAAUAUUUAAACACAAAUUAUUGUCGGUAAUUAAAAUAUUUUUCAAUAAUUAAUUAUUUCAAGUGACACACAUUAUCAUUAUUAGGAAAAUAUUUUUCAAAUUACUAAUUUUUUGCGAAAUAAACGGAGCGCCAAAAUAGAUAGACACGCCAAACGUGAAACUUAUAGGUGCAUCAGUCCAAGAUAUAUGGUACAUUAAUGAUAGAAUUGAAAGAGGCGUGGAUGAUAUCAUAAUAAAGAGUAGCGAUAGCUGUCAUUUUACCAUAAAAGUUUGUGCAGGUAAAAUAUUGUCCGACUUCUUUUACAUGUAUGAUAUAUGUUAGACUCUUUCCAAAUAAUUUAAAGCAUUUCACCUAAUUUUCUCAAUAUAUUUCUUGAAAUGACCCAUAAAAAUGCACCCCCAUUGAUCCCGUUAGAUCAGGUUCUCAAAGUGAAUACAAGAUCCUGAGGCUCCUGAAUCAGCCACUCACUUUUUAACUUUUCAACCUUCGCCUUUUACACCUAAUAAGUCUCUUUUACGAUGGCUUAGUAAUUUAUCUUCCCUUUGACUGGUCAUCGAUCCUAAUUUUCCCCUUUUCUUUAGGGUUUUUGAAUAUUCUUUUUCCAAUUUCACAGUGCACAAGACCCAUUUAAGUUUCUUUCUAAUUUUGGCCCUUAUGGUUGGAAUUCCGCUUCGAAUUGUCCUGGAGUGAGGAUGAGAAGUGGACCCUUCACAUGAUCAUCAUGGAGAGGUGAAUUAAUUGGGGGAGAGAGAGAGAGAGAUCAUGGGCAAAGUCUGAUACAUGAACCCCAUAAAUCUGCCUAUGAAUAUGUCACUUUCGUCCUUCCAUCGGUGUUUUUUGCCGACUCCCUCAAACCCUAUUAUUGAUCUCCACUUGCUUCAUUUGGAGGUCCAAGAUGGACGGUGUGUUCAAUUUGUUAGCUAGCAAAUCCAGGAUGGAUGUAAUGAUUUGUAGUGCUAAGUCCUGCCUGAUUUUAGCUCAUGAUUGAGGAAGUCUUAAAGAUCUGAGUUGAGCUCUAGGUUCCAACCACGUGGAGAUCAGAGAUGCAUGAUUGAUUAGAAACUUGGUUGAUUGAUAAUUGAAUUGUUGAUAAUGUUAUAGACAUUGGUUGAUGACCAGCUAAUUCAUCUCUCACCCCUUCGACAUCAAACUAUGUCUAACGUUGCUAGAAUUUUAUGAGGAAAAAUAAGGAUACAUUGCAUGUGGCAGAUCAUUGUCAUUGCUCCUAACAUUUUUUUUUUCCAAAUAAUCAGAUCUCAUACAUAUUUGAGUUCUAAGAUCAAGUUUCCAGUCAAAAUGACCACAGGAGAACCUUGCUACUCAUAAUAGUCAUAGGGACAAAUUGGCAUAGAACCGCAAGGUGUUAUGACGCUUAUGAAGUAGGAAAAUGCAUAAUAUUACUACGUUCGACACAAAUCAAGACAUAAAAUUUUAAGUAAUUUGUGGGAGGUGUAGGCUUAUGAUGGUAGCUGGAUGGUAAAGAAUGAGCCUAUGGUCUCAGCAUGGUGAUUCCUACAUUUCUCCACCAAACUGUUUGGCUAACAUAGAAAUCAUCCUUUGAUUGAUUAGGUCAAGAACACAUAUCUAGCCCCUCACUCCCUCAAUUUCACCCAUGAAAACCUAUCCAUAUAUGGAUGCAAAUGGGCUAUUUUGAAUGAUUUGAAAGGGUAGAAAUGACUUCCUCAUAAAUUUAAAGUACGCCUAGUACAUAAUACCUAAUUUGCUAUUUUUAAUUUUCUAUGCUUUUUCCCAAUCCCGGCAAAUAUUAAAUACCCUUCUUUUCUUUUUUUCCCGCCUUUCUGCUUUAAGGGUAGGCCUCUUCACUCCCCUCUUUCCAAUGCCUUUUUCCCCUUAAAUUUUUAACUUUGGGGAGCCCAAUCAAAGCCUCCCCUUUUCUUUGUGCAAUAUGAAGGGGAAAAGAUGAUCUAGCAGACAGCUUUGGUCCCAAUAAAAAACCACUUUUCAUGAAUUUGUGUCUCGCAUUGGACCUGACAAGUUCGGUUGGGUUCAUGUUUUCUUUAGCAGAUGCAACUCACAUUCUUUCCUCCCAAAAUAAAUAAAUAAAUAAAUAAAACCCAUCUAACAUAAUCUGAUCUUAAUCUAACAUAACUGGAAUUCCGAUUGUUGUCUUGGGGGAAAAACUUUAAUUUCGAUGGGGGCGACACUCUCUCCAUAAAUGCUGGGUUCGGAAAAUGAUAGAUGUUUUGCCUUUUAAGGGCAGUCAGUGGGGUAUUGAGCAAUUUUCUUAAUCGUGCAAUAAUUUCUUCUUCUUCUCUUUCCAUUAUUGUGACCUAUUGAAUCGAAUUCUCCUUGUUUUUUGUAUCAUCGUUUGCUUCGAACAGAUUUGGCACAUGGAAUGUGGGAGAACAUGUACGAUUGGGGAUAAUAUGACCUGUCAUUUUGAUCGUAUGAACAAUGUCGUGUGCAUGAUUGCAAGGUUGAAAAAGAUAGGUAUCAAUACCAUUUAGGCGUUCGAGAAAAUGUUUAGAAACUACUUGAACGUGCAUGUUAGGCAAACCGGUAGAAGAGUUGCCUCUAGGUACUAACUCUCACCUGAGAUCAUUGCAAUUUUUUUUUUUUUAAAUGUCUUGAGUCUUGACUAGUCACUAGGCUCAUCAAAGUGGGUUUUAAACCUAUUUUUAACCCGCAUAACUGUCAAAUGGGUUAUAGAUUGGUUAGUUAUAUUGAGUAAAUGGGUUUAAACACAAUAUACACGUUAAAUGGAUUAUAGAUGAAUUAUAAAUGGGUUUACAACUUAUUUAAAUUAACUAAUUUCUACGACUCUAUCUUCAAUUUUGCUCGCCUUCACUCAAUCUCGUGAUCACUCACUCCAUACUCUCACCUUAGUUCGACCAUCGUAAAUUGUGUAAAAAUGGAAGUGUUUUAUCAAUAGGAACUAGAUUUGCAAUGUGUGAAAAGAAGUCAAAAUGGGUUUAGUAGGUUUAUUUGGGUUGGACUAUUUGGGACUGACCCAAACCCACCCGUCUGUUUGAUGGGUCUACUAAUUGAUUAGCUUGCAAUGAGAUCAUGGAACCCCGAACCACCAACGUCAGACUAGUUAGUGUUUCAAGAGCUCUAAUAAAGGCUACCUGAGAUAAUGAUAAAAUAGAUGUUUAUGCAUAUCGCAUUUUUUGGAAUCAAAACGAACUGCUUCAUUGAUACAUUCAAUCCUUCCAAGUGUGUGUGUGUAUAUAUAUAUGUAUGUAUGUAUGUAUGUAUGUAUGUACGGUCACAGAUUCAUAGAACCCAUGUUUCGCCGUCCUGCUAGCAAGUCGCAACAGACGCUGAUUUAACUUCUUUGGUGGCCUUUCAUGUGGCCCAAUUUAUGAGCCCAGUUCAGAAAUGGAGCUGCAUACAAUAUCAAAGUGGGCCAAAUCUUCUGGGGUAUAGUAAACCUAACCCAUUGGGCCAAUUCACAGUGGAGAAUUUCAAUUUACAGAUUUAUGUGCUAAGGGAGUAUGGGGUGGGUAUUCUUACAAGUCGCAACUGAGUUUUUGUACGAGCAUUAUUCUUUCUUUAAUCUUCAUAUAGAUGGAAGAAAUUAAACCUAACUUUCUUUAUAUGACAUAGGCGAGAUGCGCCGGAGUCCCAUAUUUCGUCGUGGGUAAGCGAAAGAUAUGGACUUGAUCAAUGGAAAGAGAGUAUGGGGUGAUCAAAAUAUAAACUUCUAACACCCAUGUUGCCAAAAUGUCAAUAUCCUCAUGCUCAUGUGAAUUCGAAUUACCUAUGGAAAACCUGGUUAGCCCCAGAACGCAGCGCAAGACCCGUAUAGAGUAUCAGUAUCCCUGGCCUGAGCUUAUCUAAACGAUUCGCGGCCACAAUGACCCAUCUCAUGGGCUUUUUGAUCAUUUCAAACCCUCCUAAUUCAGAUUGCGAGUGUCUCAGGAAUUUCUUUUACGUUUUCAUAUCAAUUCAUAAACAUGUUCCUCUUAAGAAACUGAGUUACAAUUUGAAAUGGGAAUCUUGAACUCUUAACUAGUAUAUAAUGAAGCUCUAUUUUAGUAGGUAGCUUAGAAAUUCGCAAGCUGGAAGAUGCAAUUGGUGAAAGUUCAUUGUGAAAGACAAUGUUACCUUUCAAUUUUGGAAUCGUGAGUUGACGUGGUGUAUUAAUCAAUCGCUUAUCUAACUAAUCAAGCUAAUAAUAAACAACUUCAAAUGGCUGUAACUUCUAAUUAAAAACCCGCUGUUGUCUUAUAUUCAACUUUUGUAGCAAUCUUGACUUUUAAUUACUUCUAGAGUUUCGUAUCUCGAAGAUGCAACUGUUGAAAGUUCAUUGGGUAAGAAUAUAUUACCUUUCAAUGUUGGAACUGUGAGUUGAUGUGGUGUAUUAACCAAUUGCUUAUCCAACUAAUCAAGCUAAUAAUAAACAACUAUUUUUUUGGGUCAAAAAUAAUAAACAACUUCAAAUGGCUCUAAUUUCUAAUUAAAAACCCGCUGUUGUCUUAUCUUCAAUUUUGGUAGGAAUUUUGACUUUUAAUUGCUUCUAGAGUUUCAUAUUUCUAAUUAAGUUAAAGCCAUUCACAAAUUACUUGAGCUUAACCGGUAGAUUAUUAGAACCGAUUUGAUGGUCUCGAGUUUAGGGGCGAUGCUCAUUUCAUCUAAUAGUUUGAGUUGAGCUUGAAAUGCGAACUCAAAAAACUCUCAAAUAUAAAUAUUAUUUAGUGAUUUUGGGCUUGUGUGUUUAAAACAUUCAAGAACUUUGAAUUUAAAAAAAAGAAAAAAAAAGUCAAAAUGCCUAAGUCAUAAGAUCUAAAUUAAGUUAAAAGGAAAAUAAAAAAAAAUCAAUUAAGAUAAAUUUUGAAACUUUUUGUCCAUUUAAAUCACACGUUGAUAUGGCAUACAACCAAGCUGUAAAUAAAAAAAAAAUGAUGUAUUUUAAUUUAGGAACCUGAGGUUGAGGUCGAGAUUGAAUUUAACACUUGAGUCUCCAUCAAAAGUUGCGUCCUAAUUUCUAUUCAGUCCUCCAGUCCUCCGGUCCUCCAAUUUUUCGAAGAUUAGAGCCACACAGAAUCGAGCAAGAGUUGCGUCCGGGCUCGAUUCGGUUCUUUGGUCGUUUCCCUCCGAAAGUCCGUUGAAGAAACGUGCGACGCCAGCCAGCUGAGGUGAAGACACUUGACACGUGCACUCCACGCGAGAUCCCUCACCACCACAACUCCCACAAGAUUCAUGUGGGACCCCCCCUGCUCUCUCUACCUCUCCAGAUUCCCUCUCUAGCUGCAACCAUAACUCUUCGGAGUCGCCAAACGCCAGCGCUUCUCUCCAUUGACAAUGGAGCGGCUCUGCUACAAGUUCGACCUCGGGUCGCAGCAUCACCUCUCGCCGUCUCACGCCAUCCUCACCCGAUUCUCUUCUUCCCCGUCGCCAUCGCCGUCGCCAUUGCCAUUGCCGUUGCCGUUGCCGUUGCCGUUGCCGUCCUCUUCCUCUUCUUCUUCUUCUUCUCUUCCGCUUCGCUCGGGUUGCUCGAACCGCCGCGCGACGCGGCGGCGAUGGAGGGCCUGCUCCGCUUCUCGUCCGCCCGCGGAGCCCGCGCCCCACGAUCGUCCUUCGCUCGCGUCGAUCGGGAAGGGCCUCUUCGGUUUCGCCGCCGCCGCCGCCGCCUUCGCUUCCGUGUGCGGCGGCGGCUCCCCGGCCGUCGCGGAGUCCCUGACCGUCGCGUUUCCGGCUUCUCACGUUCGAGAGGUGAGGAGUUCGGCUCGCGUGGCUACUCGUUAAUCCGGUUGUUCUUACUGUUUGUUCCGUGUUAAAAACAGUGGUCCAAUUAAAAACGAGAAACCAUAUCGCCUAUGUACGCUUUGAUAAGAAUUGCGCUUCGCAUGUACCGUUUGCUUCUUUUCUUGUUAAGUACUCUAAAAUCUCUUGCUGUUUAGCGACCGCGGUUGUCUGAGUUAACAUUGUUGCUCCAUUAUUGCUUACUCUGUACUAUAUACUGCAAAAAAUGUCUUGGCAGUAUGAGUGAGAUAGAAGAGUGUUUCCAUGCUAGGUAAAUACAGUUCAGAGAACGCUGGUCGAGGCUUGGGGUUUGAUCAGGGAGACAUUCGUUGAUCCGACAUUCAACCAUCAAGGUACUCGGAUGAUGUUUCUUUAUAAAAAAAAAAGGCACUUGCUUAGCGACAGCAUGCUUCUUACUCUGAUUAUGGAUUAAAGUACAAAGUCGAGUCUGGUAGAAAUUUGGUUUAAUUAAUGGGAAACUUCCUUUGGCAGAUUGGGAUUCGAAACUGCAGCAAACGAUGGUGGAAAUGUUCCCUCUGAGGUCGGCUGACGCAGCAUAUAACAAGAUCGGCGCCAUGCUUUCUACUCUAGGAGAUCCCUUCACACGGAUUAUUAGCCCUAAGGUCUUUGCAAGUUAUCUAUGCUCUUCAAAUAUGCUGAAACAGCUAACUUUUUCUUUAACAUGGGUUCUAGGUUAGCUCUGAUGGAUAAAUCAGAUACCUGGCUCCAAUUGCCCCUUUUUUUAUUUCACAAAAGGAUAGUCUCUUUCAUUGGUUGUCCUCCUAACAAAUGCAUACUUACAGGAAUAUCAAAGUUUCAGGAUUGGAAGUGAUGGAAAUUUGCAAGGAGUUGGCCUCUUCAUAAAUGCUGAACCAAAAACAGGGCAUUUGGUUAGUGGCAUUGCAGUUGUUUUUGUUCGACUCCCGCACUUUCCUUGUUAUCAUACUUCAAAUAUUAAGUUCUAUUGGCAAUUUAUAUUUGAGCAGACUCUACCAUUUCAGAGUGCAACAGAACUUUGCAAAGCUAUCAUCCCUUGUUUUUUAUGUUUCUUUGAUGAGCUAAGGUCUACACAUCGAUUGUAUAUCGGGUUUAUAGUGACCUUGUAAUUUCUCUCCACCCAGUAACUGCAAACUUGAUGGUCGGAUUUACCAACAUGAUCUAUAGAAUCUUAAGAUAAUGUGACCUCACACUUGUGCAGGAUCUUACCUUCUUAAUUUGAUAUCGUUUUGUAUGGUUCACAAAACUGUGUCCAACGUUGCCUUCUUUCUUUUUUGGUCAAAAUCCCCCAUUGCCUCUUCAAAUAUGCCUCCAGACCACCUUAGAAGUUCCAUAUGUAUGAAUAUAUUUAUUAGGAGUAGCAUCAGUUCCACUUGCAUCUAGUGAACCAAAAUUUUGCCACCUGAAUUUGCUGGCUGGGGGCAUACAAAACUUACUGAUGGGCUUUGCAGAAGCAGAUGUAUAAAUCAAAUGGCAUUUUUUUCCUUUUCAUUAAUGGAUCUUGCUGAAAUUUUGUCAUUAAAAGAUGAAAGGGUUCUGGAAGUAUAACAGAGUGUGAAGUUUCUCUCCUAACCUAUAUGCGUUUUUGAUAAUUUUUUAUUCAAUGUGGAUCACGUACAUCUUGAUAUCUAUCAACUCUUUACAUGUAUUUAAAUAACCUAUCAGCAAAGUGAGAAUGAAAAGAUAACUGAGAUGUGAAAUCUCCCAGAUCUUGACCACAAGUACUCCUCUCGUUGCUGUUACAAAAAUACGUUUUGCCACUACAGGUAGUGUUAUUUUGUGUGGACGAUAGCCCUGCUGCUCGUGCCGGUAUACAUGAAGGGGAUGAGUUGAUUGAGAUUGACGGUAUGUAAAUGAAUCUCGAAUCCAAACUUUAUAUGUUAAAUUUCUACUCAAACUCAACUAUGAUUUUUGCAUUAUCUUAAGGUGCGGUUGCAUAUGCUUCCAAACUUGGACAUAAUUUAUAUAAUGGCAUAGACUUUAGUUUUUUUUCUUUUGGUCGUGAGGCAUAGACUUUAGUUUAAGUGAUCCUUUCUGGGUAAAAAUGUUGAGACUAAGCCAGCUUACUCAAGCUCAGUAUAGUAUCGGAUUUGGCAUUUUUUAUUGACUUGGAAUGAAGGUUUCUAACAAUUCCACCCUUGGAGAACACUCAAUAUCAAAAACCAGUCCAGUAAGGGCCCCAGCAUAUUAUACUACACUAGGCGGGUUAGAUUGUGAUAUUUCUUGCUGAGGACACAAAUUGUAUACUCUGUGCUCUCUGUCUGACAAGGAUCUAAUAUUCUGCCAUAUGCUCCUUCAGAGAUGAAAGAACUGAACGGAGUUGUUUCAUUAUGAUUGAUGACCAAGGCUGACGACAACAUGAUUGUGCUCCCAUGCGUCUCCUUUAAGACUUGUAUCCUCUAUUUUAACUUAGUGGGAACCUACAUUUUGGACCAUCCGCUCCUUGUUCUAGUAAUAUAUGACCUCUUAAUUCAACUUAGUUCCUUGAAAAAUUAGUUGGGCCAUCACGAUUUCCUUAUGUUGUUUGUUUGUUUAUUUUUUCCAGACAUAGUCUGCUAAUGGCUGUCAUUGCACACUGCACUUCCUUGUCGGUAUCUUUUUGCUACGUGCAGAUAGUCUUCAUCCUAAACUUAUUACCAGUGCUUGUAUUGUGUGAUAAUAAUUGGUUUCUGCUCAUAAGUGAAUAUUCUAGAUGUUUAUUAUCCCUUUAAAGAUUCUUUUUGCAAAUGUCUAGCUCCACGACGUCAAAAAAGUAUAUUUCUAGUUUUCUGAGAUCUCUCUCAUAUGUAUUCAGGGGAGAUACUUGAAGGUGUCGGCAGUGAAGUUGCAGCACAGAAACUCAGAGGUCGUGCGGGCACCACUGUUACAGUAAAAGUGCACAGUGUAAUUGCAAUCCUUUUGCUUCUUUCAAUAUAAAUUUUCUGGCAAAUAGACAUUCACUUUGGUAGUUGAUGACAUACAUGCAUGAAUGUCAGCACAACAAGAGAUGCCUGCGCUAACUGAUUAUUGCAGGAUACUCUGUGAUUAUUUUCACUUGGGUGCUACUAAACCAUACAUGCCCGCAAUUCGACUCCUUCUUAAGCUUAUAAUGAGAGUAGGCAUCAUAGAUUUGAACCAGGGCUUUAACUAUUCAAAGGCAUACAGAGUUUGUUCAUCAUUUGAACAACUUAUAAGUGAACCUGAAGUCCAUGUGGCCAUGUUUAGCAAAGUUGAAAUGAAAGUAGACUGCACAGACUUGAGCUAGCUUUUCCAAGUUUAUAAGAUAUGAAUAUUUCACUAUCGAUUAUCUGGUCAUCAAUGACCCAUGCAUCUAAGAUGACCUGAAUUUUUGUGUAUCAAGAAGAAAGUUCUUCUGUGUAUCUUGAGAUUAUUAAUGGCCGUGUCUAUCUAAUGUCAAAAAAUGCUGAAUAUGUUCUUUUUUUCCAGGGUACUGAUGGGGGAAGUGCUUCUACUGUUAGAGAGGUACUUUUUGUCCUUACGUUGCAUGGUGCUAAUUGAUUGCUGGAAUUGCUUUGUUUAAAGAAUUUUAAACUCCCCCAUACAUAUGAUACCAUGCAUAUGGAGAUUGAAAUGCCAUUAUCUAUGUUUUCCGUGAAAAUGCAUGCCUCAUUAGAAGCUUCUAGUCUUUUAGCUAAUCACUGAUGAUGUGACCUGGGAACCUCAACUGCUUGAAGGUCAAACUACCCCGCGAGUACAUCAAACUUUCUCCUGUAUCCACUGCCGUUAUUCCUCAUAGAAUGCCUGAUGGUAGUAUCACAAAGACUGGUUAUGUUAAAUUGUCAGCCUUCUCUCAGGUAAAGAUGCUUGUUUUUUUCCUCUUAGGUGGGGUUUGGUGGAAAUUUGUCAACUCCUUAAGUCAUGAGUUAUGUGCUUCCAUUUUUGGCAUAUGUACUAACGGCUCUUUGGCCAAAUCCCCAGAAUGCUGCCGCUGAUGUGGAAAGUGCUAUUCAGGAAAUGGAACGCCAGGAUGUUCGCUCAUACAUAUUGGAUCUACGGGACAAUCCGGUAGUAGCUGGGUUAAUAUUAGAGUGAUGUAGGGGGAAAUUUGCUAGUCACUAUUUUCUUUUAGUUUCCGAUCUAUAUAAGUGACACGAUGUCCUUGCACUAUCCUUUCAGGGAGGCCUGGUAAAGGCUGGGCUUGAUGUUGCACAGAUGUGGCUUGAUGGGGAUGAGACCCUUGUGAACACUAUUGAUCGUGAUGGGAAUUUGCAACCUAUCAACAUGAUCGAUGGGCAUGCAAUAACACAUGAUCCGCUUGUUGUGCUUGUAAGAAUCUGAUCCUUCAUGAAUCAUUAUAGAGCAGCCAAUCGGGAAGUUCUUUAAACACCUUCCAUCUUGCUGAUGUGCAAGAAAUUUCUUAGUUGAAUUACUGCAAAUAGAAAGAUCAAUAUGGACUAGAAAUGUAGACCAAGAGCAGUUGUUCUUGCUUUAUCUCCUUGCUGAUAGAAGUGGUAGAAUAUCCCUGUAGGUGCAAGACAAGUCCAUGAAUUAAAAAAUGAGUGGAGCUAGAUGCCUGAGCAGUUUACCAUGCCUUAAGCACUGUGGUCUCGAUCAACUUGUUUUGUGCUCUGGAUUAAAUCUUUUCUCACAUUAAAUUCAAUUUGUCUACCGUUUGAGUAGCUGCAGCGUUACUACAUCAACGCUGUAUUCUCUCUAGAUGGAGCUUGUUUAGGCAAUUUGUCGAAUCAAGUUUACUUCACAAAUAUGGAUUCUGGGAAAUUUGUCUUCAUUCCUUGGGCCUGAUAAUGAAAUAUUUAGUCAAUAGAGUUGUUAACUCAUUUAAAAUGCAUUCAUUCGGUGAUGCUUGUCCGAUUUUCUGACAAGCUUCUAUGCAAUUAUGUUCACUGGAUUUGAAGAAGUAGUCUACCAUUCUUCUGUGAGUUCUUCAAAAUCUCAGAGCCUUUAAACUUUGACUCAGAUCAUUUCACCUACUCUUACAUUACCUGAAAUAGGCCGAUGAGGGAAGUGCAAGCGCAAGCGAGAUAUUGGCAGGAGCUUUACAUGAUAAUGGCCGUGCUAUUCUCGUGGGGCACAAAACUUUUGGCAAGGGCAAAAUUCAGGUACUUGGAAUAUCCAUUUGCUUGUAGUCUAAGACACAUUGAACCAUCUCAUUUUGUUUAUAUCGGUUGAUGCUGAUACAGGCUUCCUUCCUAUACUGUAGAAUGCUCGGGUGGCUAAUCACUGAUGCCUUUGUCAUUGCCAUUUGCUUAAUCUAAACAGACUGUAACGGAACUCCAUGAUGGAUCGGCUCUAUUCGUCACAGUAGCAAAGUAUCUAUCUCCUUCUCUCCACGACAUAGACCAAGUUGGGAUAACUCCUGAUGUCCAGUGCACGGCUGACAUGAUUAAUGUGCCCAAGGAGUGUCCUUGUUUAAAGACGAGCUCUGUCUCGACAUUGGAAGCUGAUUCCUGCAUCAUGGUCGCCGUCGCGCCGAACAUGAGUCGGACAUUCAGGAGUCGAAAGGUACAGCUUCCUGAAGGAUGGAAAUGUCGGAUCCAUUUGAUCUCAUAGUGUAGACCGUCUGUACAGAUCGCUCAUGAUGAACAAGUGUCUAUAGAUCUUGAAGGGUUGGACUGAGUGUAGCCGCCCCAGCAUAUACGAAAUUGAAUUGCUCCAGAAAAGCAAAUGAAUUCAUCCUCAAGUUUCAAUUCUAGAGAAAUGAAAUGAUAGUAUAAACGGGUUUGCUGAGGACUUUGCACAGCCGAAUGUAUAUAUGCUGCAUCCAAUAAGUUAAGGAAACGUUGAGAGAACAACGUAAAAAUUAUACAAUCACGAGAGCCUGAGUUCUGCAGUUACUUGGCUUUUGUAGUUCAAAAUCGAUACGCGCCACCAUUUUCAACAGAACAUUCAUCUUGGAUUAGACUGUUCGGCACAGAGAGGGAAGUCGAUGUGUACUUUCAUGGGGGUACUAGACCAACUACGGGUGAUCAGAUCAGUGAUAACUGACCACGUCUCGGUUUUACGACAUUUAGGACCAAAUAAAGGCGCACUAAGAUUCAAAAAUUCAUUCCGAGCCAAGCAAAGACCAUACGGAUCAGAAAUGUAAAAAAAAAAAAAAAAGAUUCUUCACAAGCCACUAUUGGGACUGAGUUGGAUGCGUGUGUAUAAAGACUUCCGCACUCUACAAAAUACUGUAUUUUCAACGGUAUAGCGUACAGCGUUUACUCUUCUAAAUUCAUGCGAGUCCAAUGUUCGGAAAACGUAAAUUCAUAUAUUGAAUUUUUAGUCCUACAGGGGAUAUACAUGUUAUACGUGUCCUUUGAAUGCCUUCUCUAGAGGAAACAGCUCACGUAGAGUUUGGAGGGACGCGGUGUAGAUGCACGUAGGUAGAGGGCGGCGCCGCGUAGGUGACCGACUUAGAACGUGGGCGGGAUGCUGGAUUGAAGAUUUUGGUUGACCCAUCUUUUUUGACAGGCUCGUCUUGCCAUGCCAGCCAUGAUCGUGUCCUUUGUAUUUGUCCGCUCCGCGUGCAUCACCUCAUUCUCAGCUGCUUUCAAAGAAAGCAACUCCGCACAUGGACGCAACAUGACGACCCGCCGCCGACACGGAAAUUGGACGGCGGAGGCAGAAUUAUAUCUGUAUUCUCACUAUGGAGGGGACCACCGCAACCUUAGCUCCGAGAGGCAAGAAACCUCACAUCAUGUAUAUGAAAAUAAGGGUGCGAAUGGUAACGUUUCUCUUCUUUUUUUGUUCCAGGGAACAAAAAUAAAAAAAAAGUGUUUCUGUUCCGGAGAACAAUUUUUGAACAAAAGAACGCGUUUGGUAACGUUUGUUCCGGGAAUAAAAAAUGAAUAGAAACACGUUUGGUAAAUUUUAUUCUUUUUUUGUUUUUUUUUUUUAACAUUUUUAUUUUAUUUUUCAUUUUUUCCUUUCUUUUUUAUUUUUUCUUUUUUUGGCCGGUCACUGGCCUCCGGCGACCGGCCGACGAGGCCGAGCCUCGCUGUGGUUGGGCGGGGCUCGGCCUCGCCUUGGCUGGGCGAGCCGACGAUGCUCGGCCUCGCCGGCGAGGUCGCCGACCCUCGACGACGUCGCCGGCCCUCGACGGCCGGUCGCCGGCCAUGGCCGGCAACUGGCCAAAGAAAAAAGAAGAAAAAAAGAAGAAGAAAAGAAGAAGAAAAGAGAAGAGAGAGAAGAAACGUUUCUUCAAAAUUGUUUCUGGAACAAGAAGCAACUUUUUUGUGUUUCUUUUUUUUGCUCCAAUUUUGUUCCGGGAAAAAAAAAACAAAAAAAAGAACAAAAACGUAACCAAACACGUUUCUGUUCUUUUUUUGUUCCCAUGAACAGAAAAACAAAAAAUAACACUUUUCAGGAACAUUACCAUGCAGGGCCUAAGAAACCCACUUGAUGAAAAUUGUACUUAACGUUAAUGCCCUUACUUCAAAGAUUUGAAUUUUGAAUAUAUGGCUAAAAAAAAAUGUCAAAAUUUCACCAUUGGGAGCUCAGUGAAAACACGCAGACUUGAUCAAAUGGGUCUCUCUCGUAAAAAAAUUUGACUUCUGUUGAUACACAUUAUGUAUGCUUGCUUGACAGAUGAUUUCAUUUUAAAUUUUUCUCACUACUUGCAACUUUAUGCAAAAGGUUUCGAUGAUAGAUUUAAACGCAUCUUCCUAAGCUGAUUGAAACAAGAUUGAAGAAUGAGGCAUGUUGAGAUUCGACAUCCAUUUUAAGAAUUAGUAAGAGUUCGCAAAAUUUGCUUCUUCAAUCGAUAGAUUUAAACGCAUUUCUUCCUAGGCAUUUCUUCUUCAAUCGAUAAAUUUGCUUCUUCAAUCGAUAGAUUUAAACGCAUUUCUUCCUAGGCUGAUUGAAACAAGAUUGAAGAAUGGAGCAAGUUGAGAUUUGACAUCCAUUUUAAGAAUUCACACCGGCAAAUCAGUAAUAUGUCGAGUUCACAAAAUUUGCUUCUUCAAUCUGACUUAUUUUAUUAAAAGAUCCUAGGAAUGAAUGAAAACUGGGUACGAUUGCAGUAUAAGUUUCGCGUUGGGGUUGAAUCUUGAUUUCGCUUUUCGUAAAAGAAUUGCAGAUGGGUCGUAUAUAUGAAAUAUAUGAAUGAAUAUAUAUAUAUAUAUAUCGAAUACAUAUAAAAUCACCGAUGGUCACAAAGAAUCAAUCCAAUCAAAACCCCCGCAAAACAAAAUCACUCCUCAAUCGCUCCCCCCUGUAUUACAUAUAUCCCACACACCGGCAUAGCGCGGACACCCCCAAAAAUCGCCAAAACGAGCCCCUCAGUACUUGAGCAGAGCGAGAAGAGACAGCGCCACCGAAGAUCCGAUGACCGCGAGCGAGGCCGGGGCGAGCGCAGCUCCGGACUCCAUCGGCGCCGGCGCGGGCGCCGGCUCGGACGCCUGAGCAGAGGCCGCCGCGGCCAUGAGGAGGACCGCCGCCACGAAGGCAACCGCGAAGGACCCGAAGCUCCUCAAUCCUGCUGCCGCCAUUGCCGAAACGAGUAGGAACAGACGAGCGGAUCGCAAGCGAGCGAGCGAGGGCUUUCGAACCGCCGGGAGAUGGGAGUUGCAGAGGAGUAGAAGAGUCGCGAGAGUGAUGGAGGCUUUGGGAUGGGAUGAAGAAGGAGAGGAAGGGAGAUUGCUAUUUAUAGGCGAGAGAGGGGGCGCGUGGUCGUCACCGGAGCAGACGAGGGUGGGGACAAACAACUCACCAACGUCCAACGUUCACAUAACAGCUAGAUUCACGCGAAAAAGCCAUUUUACAUGGCCGUUGGGCUGGCAGUCGGGGGCGAUGAUUGCGUGCGGGCUCUCGAUUUCUUUCGGCACGCGGCGGCUGCUGCGAUUGCGACACGUGUGCGGAGGGAUUUCGUCUGUUUUGGGGAACUGUCGGCAGGCCCAUUGGGCCUCCGUGGAUGGCCCAUUCCGAAGUUGAGCCCAGUGGGCUCGAGACGGCCCCUGCUUCGCUCUUAAUUUUUCAUUUUUUUUUUUGUUUUUUUUUUAACCAAUUGAUCGGCCGGUUUCCAGUUUUCUUGUUAGCACCAGCAGUAGCUGUAAUGGAGAACAAAUUCUAAAGCUGCCAAAAAUAGCAUGUGAGAGUUUGAAAACUCUAGUUUAAGUGGAAAUCUAAUGAAUCGGAAUAAUAUCGAAGUAAGACAUUAGACGGACAAUGUAUAAAAGAAAUUUAUAUAUAUCAGGACGAUACUACUCGACCUAAUUUCUUUUCUAUUACAGUAUCAAAUCAUCGCCGGAACUAUAGAUCACAACCAUAUAACAAAAAUAUCACAUCAUAUCGCGUGUAUCAUGAAAACAGAGUGUAGGAUGUAGCUCAGAUCAGCAAAACUAUGAGAGGAGCAGCGGAGAGCAAGAGGCAGGCAAAAGCAUCCUGAAGUGGCGAAUGAGGCAGCCCGGCCGCCCCCGUAUCCAGCUGAGGCAAUGGAGCCGCCGCCAGCUCCUGCGCCCGAGCCGCUCCGCACAACCACACUGCCAUCAUCACCACCACGAGCAUCACAAUUUCGCUUCCCAUGCGGCGGUUCCCGGAGCCUGCCAUCGAUCUUAUCGGUAUGCUGCGACUGUAAGUUGGGUUUCUCUGGGAACAGAUGUAAGAAGUGCACUUAUAUAGGCUCUGAAGCGGUGUGAUCAGUUCCGGAAGACAUCGGAACUGCAUGCGUUCGAGCGGUUAGCGUAU
rnacentral:lncRNA from 1 species